AACAAAAAAAAGAGGUUAAAUUUAUCAACAGAAUAUACCGUGAACCGCAAUAGUAUUCCUUAGAAAUUACAAUUAGUAUACUCCUCUAAUGUCCAUCUCCUUAAUAAAGAGAAAAGUUACCUGGAAAUGAAUUUAAAAAAUGAAAAUAAUAUCAAACCAGAAAUGGAAAAAAAACACACAAAGAUGAUAUGUUAAUUUACAUAAAAACUUCAUAGCCUUUUGCAAACUUUGAGUGAAAUAGAUACAAAAAACUUUUUCAUCACUUGAUUGGCAUAUUUGACUCCUCCCAAUGCAUUAUAUUUGCCAUAUUUGAAUCCUCCAUAUGCAUUACCAAUCUGAUUUUCC
rnacentral:lncRNA from 1 species